CACCAAAACCACUGGCACCCACCGAUCGACGAUUGAAAGAAAAAUCAGACGCCUGUUGCGCCUACCAGGCGAUCAGACAACUCAGCGCGUGACGCUGUAGAAACGGUGCUUUCUUUUUCGACGGGUCAACGAACCCGGGCUCCAAAUUUCGGAGAUCGUUGACCGCCCCGGUGGUGGGAGAGUAAGAGAGACGGCAGUUGGUGGUGAGAGAGAAACAGCGAGCGAACUGCGAACGGAACAAGUCUGAGUGAGAGGGUGAGUGGAAUAAGAGAGGGAGACAAGUUGCUCGUGUUCAGCGGCAGAGAGACCGCUGACACACUUACACUUUUGAUUGCCUCUGCAAUCAGUUUCACAGUACGCACUAGAUAGGGG
ensembl:ncRNA lncRNA:CR44867 long non-coding RNA:CR44867